rnacentral:misc_RNA from 1 species
UCACCCCUCAAGCCCGGCUUGGUGUUGGACGCAGGCGGGGCCUCCGGGCCUCGCCCGUCUCAAAGGUAAUGACGGCGUCUGUGAGGACUCCUGUACACUGAGCUUUCGGGCACGUACUAGGCUAGAACUCCAGGCCCGGUCUUUUCAGGCGUUGGGCUCACGCCCCGCGCCUAACUUUUUCACAA